UAGUGUAAAUAAAAAAACUAGAGGCUCUAAAGAGCCUGUGUCGCUCACCUUGGUCUAUGUGAAUACUAAACAAAGGACACAGAUGGAUUCAAGACAAAAUUGUGGUUUGGUGAUGGUGAUGUGUUUGUAGAUCUUACUUUACUGAACAUUCUUGCUGCUUACAAUUAUCUCUAUCUAUAAUGAACUUGACCCAGUAGUUACAGUGGAAAAUGUUAGUAAAAUUUUACAAAUUUUGUGAAAAUUGUUAAAAAAAAUGACUAUAUAAAGGGCAAUAACUCCUUAGGGGUCAAUUGACCAUUUUAGUCAUGUUGACUUCUUUUUAGGUCUUACUUUGCUGUACAUUAUUGCUGUUUACAGUUUAUCUCUAUCUAUAAUAAUAUUCAAGAUAAUAACCAAAAACAGCAAAAUUUCCUUAAAAUUACCAAUUCAGGGGCAGCAACCCAACAACAGGUUGUCUGAUUCAUUUGAAAAUUUCAGGGCAGAUAGAUCUUGACCCGAUAAAAUUUUUUACCCAUGUCAGCUUUGGUUUUUGAGUUAUAAGCCAAAAAACUGCAUUUUACCCCUAUGUUCUAUUUUUAGGCGUGGUGGCCAUCUUGGUUAGUUGGCCGGGUCACCGGACACAUUUUUUAAACUAGAUACCCCAAUGAUGAUUGUGGCCAAGUCUGGAUUAAUUUGGCCCAGUAGUUUCAGAGGAGAAGAUUUUUGUAAAAGAUUACUAAAAAUUUACGAAAAAUGGUUAAAAAUUGACUAUAAAGGGCAAUAACUCCUAAAGGGGUCAACUGACCAUUUCGGUCAUGUUGACUUAUUUGUAAAUCUUACUUUGCUGAACAUUAUUGCUGUUUACAGUUUAUCUCUAUCUAUAAUAAUAUUCAAGAUAAUAACCAAAAACAGUAAAAUUUCCUUAAAAUUACCAAUUCAGGGGCAGCAACCCAACAACAGGUUGUCUGAUUCAUCUGAAAAUUUCAGGGCAGAUAGAUCUUGACCUGAUGAACAAUUUUACCCAUGUCAGAUUUGCUCUAAAUGCUUUGGUUUUUGAGUUAUAAGCCAAAAACUGCAUUUUACCCCUAUGUUCUAUUUUUAGGCAUGGUGGCCAUCUUGGUUGGUUGGCCGGGUCACCGGACACAUUUUUAAACUAGAUACCCCAAUGAUGAUUGUGGCCAAGUCUGGAUUAAUUUGGCCCAGUAGUUUCAGAGGAGAAGAUUUUUGUAAAAGAUUACUAAGAUUUACGAAAAAUGGUUAAAAAUUGACUAUAAAGGGCAAUAACUCCUAAAGGGGUCAACUGACCAUUUUGGUCAUGUUGACUUAUUUGUAAAUCUUACUUUGCUGAACAUUAUUGCUGUUUACAGUUUAUCUCUAUCUAUAAUAAUAUUCAAGAUAAUAACCAAAAACAGUAAAAUUUCCUUAAAAUUACCAAUUCAGGGGCAGCAACCCAACAACAGGUUGUCUGAUUCAUCUGAAAAUUUCAGGGCAGAUAGAUCUUGACCUGAUGAACAAUUUUAACCAUGUCAGAUUUGCUCUAAAUGCUUUGGUUUUUGAGUUAUAAGCCAAAAACUGCAUUUUACCCCCAUGUUCUAUUUUUAGCCAUGGUGGCCAUCUUGGUUGGUUGACCGGGUCACCGGACACAUUUUUAAAACUAGAUACCCCAAUGAUGAUUGUGGCCAAGUCUGGAUUAAUUUGGCCCAGUAGUUUCAGAGGAGAAGAUUUUUCUAAAAGAUGACUAAGAUUUACGAAAAAUGGUUAAAAAUUGACUAUAAAGGGCAAUAACUCCUAAAGGGGACAAUUGACCAUUUCGGUCAUGUUGACUUAUUUGUAAAUCUUACUUUGCUGAACAUUAUUGCUGUUUACAGUUUAUCUCUAUCUAUAAUAAUAUUCAAGAUAAUAACCAAAAACAGUAAAAUUUCCUUAAAAUUACCAAUUCAGGGGCAGCAACCCAACAACGGGUUGUCUGAUUCAUCUGAAAAUUUCAGGGCAGAUAGAUCUUGACCUGAUGAACAAUUUAACCCCGUCAUGGCAGAUUUGCUCUAAAUGCUUUGGUUUUUGAGUUAUAAGCCAAAAACUGCAUUUUACCCCCAUGUUCUAUUUUUAGCCAUGGCGGCCAUCUUGGUUGGUUGACCGGGUCACCGGACAUAUUUUUUAAACUAGAUACCCCAAUGAUGAUUGUGGCCAAGUUUGGUUAAAUUUGGCCCAGUAGUUUCAGAGAAGAAGAUUUUUGUAAAAGUU
rnacentral:lncRNA from 1 species